GAGAGAGGCCUGCCGCAAUGAAGACUGCUAAUCUUCACCCCUUUGGUUAAACCCCAGAGCUCACUCG
rnacentral:tRNA from 1 species